AGUCGCAAUUGGCAAGCCCAACGAAGGGAUCUAUUCCAGCAAGGACACGGACUAGUUAGGAUAAUAGGGAUAUCAGGCCAAAAUAAUAAAACACAAACUGAAGAGUCUUACCACUUGUACUUACAUAGGAACUAUAUGGUUCUAAAUAUUUCAAGGGUAACCAGGCAAAGGGAAAUUAUUGGUUUUCCAAGUGGACGCAAUGCAACUCUGCAAUUACAUCACAAACAGAAGUGACUCUGGUUAAGGAACCUAUUUUACAGCCCCCCCCUGGAACAUCGAAGGAUUCGACUUUUCGGAGAAACUCCCCUUUUUGACCUCAAACGGAAUUUUAGCCUGCAAUGCCGAUGUACAACUUGCGUUCAACUAUUUUGCAACUUGGUGCACUUUGUGGGGGCGCUGCAAAGUAUGCUAUGGCAAUUGUCGAAACGCCAGGAGUAAUUACAACUAGGCACAGGACUACACGGGGAUACACAAGGAUGUACACACACAAACACACACACACAGAUAGACACGAAAUGCUGUUGGCUUUUGUUUUAUAGAUCUUUAAAGUAGAUAUAUAUAUAUAUAUACCCAUGUUGGCCUCUGACUCCUGA